AUUGAACGCUGGCGGCAGGCCUAACACAUGCAAGUCGAACGGUAACAGGAAGAAGCUUGCUUCUUUGCUGACGAGUGGCGGACGGGUGAGUAAUGUCUGGGAAACUGCCUGAUGGAGGGGGAUAACUACUGGAAACGGUAGCUAAUACCGCAUAACGUCGCAAGACCAAAGAGGGGGACCUUCGGGCCUCUUGCCAUCGUAUGUGCCCAGAUGGGAUUAGCUAGUAGGUGGGGUAACGGCUCACCUAGGCGACGAUCCCUAGCUGGUCUGAGAGGAUGACCAGCCACACUGGAACUGAGACACGGUCCAGACUCCUACGGGAGGCAGCAGUGGGGAAUAUUGCACAAUGGGCGCAAGCCUGAUGCAGCCAUGCCGCGUGUAUGAAGAAGGCCUUCGGGUUGUAAAGUACUUUCAGCGGGGAGGAAGGGAGUAAAGUUAAUACCUUUGCUCAUUGACGUUACCCGCAGAAGAAGCACCGGCUAACUCCGUG
rnacentral:rRNA from 1 species